rnacentral:rRNA from 1 species
UGUUAAAAAGCUCCUAGUUGGAUCAAGAGUUCGACAGUGCAAGGUGGCCUCACUUGUCAUGCUGGCUCCGGUCAUUGUGACGGUGGCGGAUCAACCCCUUGCGCCAAACUGUCGUCUCUAACAGACCGAAACGGUUCCCUGUGAGUAGUCAACUUUAUUGGGGAUGAAAGCGCCUACGCAUCUACCAUAUGCUUACAAAGUUACUGUAAACAAACCAGCGUGUCCAAAACAGGCUUUCGCCUGAAUGUUCGAGCAUGGAAUAACAAGGGAUCGAUUAUCUCGGUUCUUUUUGUUGGUUUUUAACCCGAGAAGGAGAAAUUCAGGCCACGGUGUCUGGGCUGGGUUCCCCUAGUCUUCGGAUUAGGCCCCAGUUAGGCCGUGUCCUUACGGGAUCAGUAGGGACUGACGGGGUCGUACGUACUUCCACGUCAGAGGUGAAAUUCUUAAGAAUGUCUUCAUUAAUCAAGAACGAGAGUGUGGGGAUCCAAUAUGAUCGAUACCGUCGUUACUCCCACUACUG